rnacentral:rRNA from 1 species
AACGAACGCUGGCGGCAUGCCUAACACAUGCAAGUCGAACGAGACCUUCGGGUCUAGUGGCGCACGGGUGCGUAACGCGUGGGAACCUGCCCUUAGGUUCGGAAUAACUCCCCGAAAGGGGUGCUAAUACCGGAUAAUGUCUUCGGACCAAAGAUUUAUCGCCUUUGGAUGAGCCCGCGUUGGAUUAGCUAGUUGGUAGGGUAAAAGCCUACCAAGGCGACGAUCCAUAGCUGGUCUGAGAGGAUGAUCAGCCACACUGGGACUGAGACACGGCCCAGACUCCUACGGGAAGCAGCAGUGGGGAAUAUUGGACAAUGGGCGAAAGCCUGAUCCAGCAAUGCCGCGUGAGUGAUGAAGGCCUUAGGGUUGUAAAGCUCUUUUACCCGGGAUGAUAAUGACAGUACCGGGAGAAUAAGCUCCGGCUAACUCCGUG